UUUAUAAUGAUUUUGUUGUUGUGACUCGAGAGAAUGUGAAAGGUUGACAGGCUUUUCUUGCUAAUACCAGGAUUCACAAACAGAAAGCACACACAGAGGCAGCCAGUAGUACCCCAUUUGGAGAACGACCGGGAUCUGGCAAGUUGAAUAAGGACACUUUUGCCCACUUAAUGAAAGCCAUGGAUGAGUUGGAUAAUAUUAACAACAUGCCAGAAGGCUUGGACCCUUCAGUCUGGGAUCAUUUCUGUGCAACCAGACGAGCAAAAGUUGAAAAUGAACACAAAGUGAAGCAGAAGGCAGCUGGCUUAGUUGAAAUGAUGGCUUUCCUCCGGAAGAGAGUUGAGGAUGAUGAACAUGUGCAACGCGAGAUUGAAAAAGUGUUCCAUGAACUCCUCCUGUAAUGCGAACCUCUCAUUCAGGUUUACCUAUUCAGUCUUGAGCUGUCUCAGGUGGCAGUGCUCAUGGGGAAAAUGCCUACUGGCUGUUCAAAUCUGUGCAAACCCAUCCAUCUGAAUCCCUUUCAAUCCUAGCACUGGGUUGAAAAUUUCUAUACUAAAGAGCACAUUUUGUAAAUUUACUCUAAUUACUUAUACAUGAGAAUGCAUUUUAGCACAUAAAACAUAUAUGAGUAUAACUUCUCAUUUGUCUGGUUAUACAUGAUAUAGUUACUCAAGUCACGUAAAUCAUUUAUGCACAUGGGUAAUAAUGUCAGAUUCUUUCUACUAUCAUUCCAACCCCACACCCCCUCCCCUCCCCCUCCACUCCUGAAUACCACUAUUCUCCCCCACCAUCCCCUUGUUGUGAAUUAGUAUCAGCCUUUGGUUCUGGGAUUGGCUUAUUUUACUUGGCAGAAUAUUCUCCAGUUGCAUCCAUUUAUUGGCAAAUGCCAUUAUUUCAUUCUUCUUUAAGGCUAAGGAAUAUUCCACUGUGUAUAUAUACCAAUUUCUUUUAUCUGUUGAAAGGUACCUAGGUUGAUUCCAUAGUUUAGCUGCUACAAACACUGAUGUGGCUGUGUCGCUGUAGUAGGCUGCUGAUUUUAAGUCUUUUGGGUAUAAACCUAGGAGUGAGGUAACUGGGUCAAAUGGUGGUUCCAUUCCAAGUUUUCUGAGAUAUGGCCAUACUGCUUCCAUAGUAGCUGCACCCAUUUGCAGUCCCACCAGCAAUAUUUGAGUGUACCUCGCCAACAUUUAUUGUUGCUUAUAUUCUUGAUGAUUGCCAUUCUUACUGGAUGAGAUGUAAUCUCAGUGUAGUUUUGCUUUUCUCUAAUUGCUAGGAUGUUAUAAUAUUUUUUCCAUAUAUUUGUUGAUUGUGUUUCUUCUUCUGUGAAGCGUCUGUUCAGUUCCUUAGCCCAUUUAUUGAUAGGGUUAUUUGGGGGUUUUUGGGGUUUUUUUGGUGUUAAAUUUUUAAAGUUCUUUAUGUAUCCUGGAGAUUAAUGCUCUGAGUUGAAUGUGAUAAAUUUUUCCCAUUCUGUAGGCUCUCUCUUCACAUUGUUUCCUUUGCUGUGAAGAAGCUUUUUAAAGUUUGAGUCCAUCCCAUUUAUUGAUUUUUGAUCUUAUUUCUUUUACUCUUUGAGUCUUUGAGCCAAGGUAUUCAGUUCCUAGGCCGAUAUGGUAGAGAUCUGUGCCUACUCUUCCUUCCAACAGGCGCAGGGUCUCUGCUCUAUUGCCUAAGUGAAAAGAGCACAUUUUGUCACAUAAGACUUGUUUCAGUGUGUGGGGGAUUAAGACAUAAAACUAUGUGGAACAUUAAGCACAUGUCCAAGCAGUGACCACACAGACACCUCCCAGCUCCAUGUUUUUCAGGGACAGUGUUGUUUUUUAUUGAGUGAUUUGCAUACUCUUAAGUCCCUGCUUCAAAAGGUCACACUGAGGGCUGGGGUUGUGGCUCAGAGGUAGAGAGCUCGCCUAGCAUGCGUGAGACACUGGGUUACGGGGUUGGAUCCUCAGCACCACAUAAAGUAAAACAAUGUGUCCAUCUGUAACUUAAGGGAAAAAAAACGCCAUAUUGAUGACUUCAUGGAUAAAUUUCAUCUCUGAUAUUCCCAAAUUUAUCAUCAUUCACCAUUUUUAGAUCUAGACUUCUAGACUACCGGGAGAAAUAUGAAUUUUGCACAAUUAGAUUUGAUAAGUAGAACAUGGAUUAAAUAUUGUUAGUACAGUAUCAGAAAUCAAUAGUCAACUUUAAUGGACUCUAAACACUUGGCAGCAUCUCUAUAUUUUCAUUUUUAUUAUUCAUUGCACUAGGAAUGAACCCCAAGGGUCUUUAUCACUAAGUUCCAUCCCUAGUCCUUUUUAUUUUUUAUUCUGAGACAGGAUCUUGCUAAGUUGCUGAGGUUGGCCUCGAACUUGCAAUCUUCCUGCUUCAGGCUCCCCCAUCACUGGGAUUACAGAUAUGCACCACUAUGCCUGGCUUUAACUUUAUUUUUAUUACAAUCAAAAUCCUACCAUCUUUUCUUAAUCCUAGAGUAGAAAUUUGUGGAUAUAUUUCUGUCCAUAGUAUUCUCUGAACAAUUCAAUUAUAUUGCAAAUCAGUAGGAUGGAGUAUCACUGGGGUGUCCAGGAAAGCUAAUCACUUGGGAAAAUAUUCUUCACACUAAUCUCCAGGAUGUUCUUUUAGCUGAUCUGAAUUUUAUAUUAAAUUUGAUAUGUAAAUGUACUAUACCUACUUAUAUUAAAUUUGAUAUGUAAAUGUACUAUACCUACUUAUUUAAAGCCUAUUUCCAUUUAGAUUACAGGACGAGAAAGUGAAAUUCCAGUUGAAUUUGACCAUCCAAAUUCUUCUUAAGCAAGGACAAGUAGAACUAGAGAAUUUCCAACUAAUCCUGGAGUAUUCUGAUGCAAUUCUCAUGAAUAAGACCAUAAUUGAAGACUUGAAUUCUGUAAUUCGGGUAGUUAUACUUUACAUUAUUCCCUCAUUUCCAGGACAAAUAAAUUUUUUAUCUUUAUUUUUAUGUGGUGUUGAGGAUCAAAAUGAGCAUGCUA
ensembl:lincRNA